AUGCUUGCCACGGUGAGGAGCGAUGGCAAAAUUGGUAUCGCUACCGCUACGUCGGGCGUCGCCGCUUCUAUCAUGCCUGGAGGCAGGACUGCCCACUCGAGGUUCAAGAUCCCAUUGAGUUGCGAUGAUGGAGCCUCAUGCAGCUUCACGAAGCAGAGUGGGACCGCCAAGCUGCUUAGGAUGGCCUCAUUGAUAAUAUGGGACGAGGCCAGCAUGACGAAACGACAAGCGGUCGAGGCAUUGGACAAUAGCAUGCGCGACAUCAUGGGAAUACGCGACCGACCCUUUGGAGGAAAGACUGUUGUUUUUGGCGGGGACUUUAGGCAGGUGCUUCCGGUCGUCAGAAGGGGGUCGCGGGGCCAGAUAAUUGAUGCAACCCUACGAAGUUCUCAUCUAUGGAAGGGUAUGCGGCAGCUUCGGCUCAUCACCAACAUGAGGGCUCAUAAUGACACAUGGUUUGCAAAUUACUUGCUAAGGGUCGGCAAUGGCACUGAGGAAGUCGACGAUCAAGGCAACAUACUACCCCCUGAAGACAUUUGUCUCCCGUCUACAGGCGAGGUUGACGACCUGGAGAAGCUUAUUCACCACGUGUUUCCGAGUCUAGAUGACAACAUCUCUGAUUCAAAUUACAUGACAUCUCGAGCAAUCCUUUCCACGACAAACGACAAUGUCGACAAGAUAAACAUCCGCAUGAUAGAGCGUUUUCAGGGAGAUGAAGUAAUAUACCAUAGCUUUGACAGUGCGGAGGACGACCCAUAUGGCUACUACGCUCAAGAGUUUCUGAAUGGAUUGACUCCUAACGGUCUUCCUCCGCAUGCACUCAAGCUAAAGCUGAACUGCCCUGUCAUACUUCUAAGGAACAUUGAUCCAGCAAAUGGGUUGUGUAACGGCACUAGGCUUGUUGUUAGAGGUUUUGAGAGGAACACCAUUGAUGCAGAAAUCGUGAUUGGACAACACGAUGGCAGGAGGAUCUUCCUUCCUCGAAUACCUCUCUGCCCAUCUGAAAAUGACAUGUUUCCGUUCAAGUUUAAGAGGAAGCAAUUUCCUAUAAGGCUUAGCUUUGCUAUGACCAUUAACAAGGCUCAAGGGCAGACAAUCCCGAUUGUUGGUGUCUACCUACCCAAUCCCGUGUUCUCUCAUGGUCAACUCUAUGUUGCUUUGUCUCGAGCCACCGCAAAGAGAAACAUAAAGAUACUCAUUCAGAAGGAGAAGCCGAAGGAGAAGUCCAACAAGCAAAAGGACAAUCCAAAGAAGCGAAAAAGACCGACCGUGUCAUUACUGACCUCGAUGAAGAACAUCGUCUACAAGGAAGUCCUUACAGGCUAA
rnacentral:rRNA from 1 species